rnacentral:rRNA from 1 species
UACAGAGGGGGCAAGCGUUGUUCGGAAUUACUGGGCGUAAAGGGCGCGUAGGCGGCCUGCUAAGUCGAACGUGAAAUCCCUGGGCUCAACCCAGGAACUGCGUCCGAUACUGGUUGGCUUGAAUUCGGGAGAGGGAUGCGGAAUUCCAGGUGUAGCGGUGAAAUGCGUAGAUAUCUGGAGGAACACCGGUGGCGAAGGCGACAUCCUGGACCGGUAUUGACGCUGAGGCGCGAAAGCCAGGGGAGCAAACGGG